rnacentral:lncRNA from 1 species
AUGCCAAAGUGCUGUUCCAUGGACGUCAAUUCAUGUGGGAUAACCUUGGCAGGGAGACCCAGUGAAUUAAUUUUUAAUCACAGAAUCCCAGGAUGGGUUAAGCUGGAAGAGACCACAGUGGCUCCUCUGGUGCCACCUCCCUGCUCCAGCAGGGACAUCCCAGAGGACAGGAUUGUGUCCCAGUGGUUCUGGAAUAUCCCCAGAGAGGAGAUUCCACAGCCUCUCUGGGCUCUGCUCAGGGCUGGGCACUGCCCAGGGCAGAAGUUCUGCCUCCUGUGCAGGGGGAAUUCCUGGGAUCCAUCCCAUUCCUCUGGUGCCAUUGCUGGGUCCUGCUCUGCCCUCCCUGCACCCAGGGACAGCCAGGGACAGAGGGACAGCCAGGGACAGCCAGGGACAGAGGCACAGCCAGGGCUGAGGCCCCUCUCAGCUGGGGCUCCUCUCCAGGCUGAGCAGCCCCAGCUCCCUCAGCCUCUCCUGGGCACGGAGAUGCUCCAGGCCCUUCCUCAGCUCAGGAGCUCCUGUCCCUGCUGUGCUGAGGAUCCAGAGCUGGACACACAACUCCAGAGGUGCCUCCAGGGCUGGGCACAGGGGCAGGAUCCCUCCCUGACCGGCUGGGAAUGCUCUGCCCGAGGCACCCCAGGGUCCCCCUGGGCACUGCUGCUCAGGGACAGCUCCUUGUCCCUCAGGGUCCCACUGGACACUGCUGCUCAGGGACAGCUCCUUGUCCCUCAGGGUCCCCCUGGACACUGCUGCUCAGGGACAGCUCCUUGUCCCUCAGCACCUGCAGGUCCUUCCCCAGAGCUGUCCCAGCAGGUGCCCCCCGGCCUGUGCCGCUCCUGGAGCUAUUCCCCGGUGCUGAGGUGCUGCAGGCAGCGCAGCCGGGCAGUGAGCACUCCGCUCCCCUGUGGAUCAGCCGCGUGCUGCGGGAUUAUUCCCGGUUAUUCCCCGGGAAAGGCGCCCCCGGAUCCGGGGAAGGCGCCCGGGAGCGGCCCCACAGCGCGCGGAGNNNNNNNNNNNNNNNNNNNNGCCCCUCACCGCCCCUCACCGCAGCAGGCCCGCGGAGCCCCGCAGGGACACGGGGAAGCGGAGCAGGCUCGGGGCGGGCUCGGAACUGCCAGUAACGGAGCUCCAGGGGGUGUGCGGGAUGAACGGGAACGCAGCGGCAAUUUCACAGAACGGGUCCAAGCGCCCUGCUCAGGCAGGGACAUCCCAGAGCACAUGGCACAGGAUUGUGUCCAGACGGGUCUGGAAUAUCCCCAGUGA